rnacentral:rRNA from 1 species
GUAGGUGGCAAGCGUUGUCCGGAAUUAUUGGGCGUAAAGCGCGCGCAGGUGGUUCUUUAAGUCUGAUGUGAAAGCCCCCGGCUCAACCGGGGAGGGUCAUUGGAAACUGGGGAACUUGAGUGCAGGAGAGGAAAGUGGAAUUCCACGCGUAGCGGUGAGAUGCGUAGAUAUGUGGAGGAACACCGGUGGCGAAGGCGACUUUCUGGCCUGUAACUGACACUGAGGCGCGAAAGCGUGGGGAGCAAACAGGGAUUAGAUACCCUGGUAGUCCACGCCGUAAACGAUGAGUGCUAAGUGUUGGGGGGGUUUCCCGCCCCUCAGUGCUGCAGCUAACGCAUUAAGCACUCCGCCUGGGGAGUACGGUCGCAAGACUG